CCUUUUCAAUAACCAUUAGUGAGAAUGUCCAUGAAGCUAAAAUGCACGUGAGAUUGACAUGAAAAAGGCCAAUAUAUUAACAAUAUACAUAGACGUAGGUGAACAUUUCAGAAACUUACUUUAGUGCAAAAAAAAAUCUUUCAUCAAUUCUGUUAUAGCAACAAAUGUAGACUGUGUGAUUAGAUUCUUGAAGAUGUAAAAAAAAAAAAUAGAAGCUUAUUAAGAAUUAAAAUACUGUGACCAGAUCCCCAUUUCCACACAAAGGUAAGUUACUGAAAUUUUCCCAUUUGUACAAUAUGUAUAUAUUAUUAAUAUAUUGGCCUUUUACAUUUCAAUUUAACAUACAUUUUAGCUUCAUGUACAUUUAAACUUCUCACGGAUGGUUAUCACAAAGGUGAUGGGCGGUCAUUGCAAAUUGGCAGGGGCGAUCUAUCUUAAAGGUUUUCUUCUCUUACAAAAACACAUUUGAUCAAGGUACUUUACCUCAGUGAUUGGAUUGCUGUCUCAAUGCUGCUUGUGUGCUGAAGUACUUCGUUCUCCUUAUGUGAAAGGUUGUUCCACAUUUAUUUUUCCCUCAAAUGUGCCAAUAUACCCACCUGUAGGAAAUAUUUUAGAGAUAAACAAGCUGAAUGAUGAUUUCUCUCCGACAUAUUGCACCAUUGUAAAAAUUCGCAAUUCCCCCUAUCCAUUAGAAGACCAUUAGCAAGGCAUAAUGUUGAUGACAAUGCUACUGAUGGCCGAUUAACUUGGAAGUAUCCCUGCAGAGAAUAAAGUUGUUUCAUUUUAAUUCUUCAAUCUCAGCCGUAGAGAUAUUCAGUGUAAGAUUGUGGUUUUAAGGCUGUUGGAAGUAGAAUAAAAAUAAAAUGUCCCCUUGCUAUUAAGAUAAUACAUUCUAGAUUGUAAGACAAAAUCUGUAGGCGCGCUCAUUGCUUGCUUUCUCCCAGCUUGUAAAACAAGGCUAUUUGCUAUACCAGUCAUUGCAAUUCUUUUCCUAUCAAGUAUUCAGUAAAGUAUUUACAAUAUAUCCUGGCAUUCCCACUCUUCUGGUGGAAUUAAUAUUAAGAAAAAAUGUAUAACGUUCAAUCUUGCAACUUCUUUAUUGGUCAAAGCCCAUUAAGUAUUCUUGCAACUGAACAAAUCAUUUUAACCAAAGCAUAUUCUCUUGUAUUUCUGCUUUGAACAGAUUAAUCUAAUCUUAAUGCCCUUUUCUAGAGACUAAAUAAUAAUUAGAACACAUAAAUAUAUAAUUAGAACACAUAAAUAUAUUGAUAGACAUACGGACAGGAAGAGUCUGAAGAAGGGGCUUGACCUGAAACGUCACCCAUUCCUUCUCUCCAGAGAUGCUGCCUGUCCCGCUGAGGUACUCCAGCAUUUUAUGUCUAUCUUUGGAAGAAACAUUCACUCUAUUCAGUUGAUCCUAAUAAUCACACUGGUGACUCUGAAGCUGAAUUGCUAAGUAUUGUUGACAGUUCUGAUGACAUAACCUUCUUGAGUGCUGCACCACAUUAAAAAUACAUCCACAACUUGGAGGAGGAGAGGGGUGGUAGUGAGGGGAUGUUUAAGAAUUGUACUCUUAAUUUAACUCUUCUGACUACACUAUUUUACCACUAGAUUUAUGGAGAAGGGUCUUGUCCCGAAACGUUACCUUUUCCUUCGCUCCAUAGAUGCUGCCUCACCCGCUGAGUUUCUCCAGCAUUUUUAUCUACUAGAUUUAUGGAGGGGUUUUGUAACUCAAAAUGUGUAUUUUCUCAAACUCCUUCAUAAUUAUUGGCGAAUCCAAUUGUUAAUGUGGAUAAACUAUGUCAUUUUAUGUAUUUAGAAAAUUGGGAAUGAUGAGCAGGAAUGAAAAUCUCAUAGCAAAGCCUUAAUGAUCAGAACCAAAAUCACUGGCGUUAACCAAAGAAUUUAAAUAUUUUGUAUAAUAGUCCUGGCCCGCUCAGAACAAAAGUUGGAAAUUGAGCGUGUCGUUUGGAAAUUAGAGUUGUCUCAAAUAGUUUCACAGUGAAAGUGGAGUGGUAGGUUGUACACAUGGACACAAAAAUGCUGGAGUAACUCAGCGGGGCAGGCAGCAACUCUGGCGAGAAGGAAUGGGUGACGUUUCAGGGUUGAGACUACUUCAGACUUCAAAGAUGCUGCCUGUCCUGGAGUUACUCCAGCAUUUUGUGUCUAUCUUCAAUUUAAGCCAGCAUCUGCAGUUCUUUCCUGCACAUUUUGUGCACAUGGGCCAUGCAUUGUACCCGCUGAACUUAUGUUUCAAUUAUAACAAAUGCUACGAGCGUGCAACCUUUAGAUCUGACAAGAUGAAUGUUGAUUUUAGACAUCAAAGUUGAAACCGAAGCAUUCAGCAGCUCAUUCUUGCUAUUUUGUAUUAAGUAUCCAAAAUUAUUAUUUUUAUUAUUCUGAUUUCCUUUAUUUUGACAUUUUGUGAAUUGCUGUUUAUUGUAAGGUUCAUGAAACUAAACAUUAUCGGUUACAAAUGGC